ensembl:lncRNA
GCAAUGAUUAAUGACCAGGGACAGCUGAGUGCAAUGAGCAGUGAUGAAACAGACAAGACUAUGGGAAAUGCAGUUCUAAAGUGCGGUGACGAUAAGGGGAAGUGAGACCUCUAGUGGACACCCAGGGAUACACAAACCAGACACCGUGACACUACCCCCCCUCUAAGGAGCAGCUUCCAGAUGCUCCUCAGAACAAAACAAACACAAAACAAAGAGACCAGGAGGGAGGUGGACUGGUGGAGGCAGAACAGGGGGAGGGAUGGCGGGCCAGGCCCGUGUAGGGGAACUGGGACCGGCAGCGAUGGCUCCCCUGGCAGCCCAGGUGGCUCGGUCAGAUCAGGGGGCCAUGGUGGACCCGAAAGUUCAGGGGACCACGAGGGACCAGGCAGUUCAGGUGGCCACGGUGGAUCAGUCCAUUCUCGUUGUGCAGACGGCCAGGGAGGAAUUCGCCAUUUGAGUGGCCCGAACGGAACCUGCCAUUCGGGGAGCCAGUGAGGAACAGACUGUGGCGAUGGCCAGGUCACGGCAUUGGACACCGCCUCGGGAACGGCCUUGGAUAAGGGCACUGCCUCGGGAACGGCCUUGGACACGGGUAUCGCCUCGGGAACGACCUCGGGUUCGGGCACCGCCUCGGGAACGACCUCGGGCACGACCUCGGGCUCGGGCACCGCCCUGGGAGCGGCCUCAGGAACGGCAUGGGACAAGGACACCGCCUCGGGAACGGCCCUGGACACGGGCAUCGCCUCGGCCUGCGCAUCGGGCACCGCCUCGACCUCCGGAACAGCAUUGGGCACCGCCUCGGCCUCCGGAACCAUCUCGGGCACCGCCUCGGCCUCCGGAACCAUCUCGGGCACCGCCUCGGACACCGCCUCGGCCUCCGGAACAGCAUCGGGCCCCGCCUCGGCCUCCGGAACAGCAUCGGCCACCGCCUCGGUCUCUGGAACAACAUCGGCCACCGCC